UAAAAAAAAAAAAGAAAAGAAAAAAGAACUAUGGGGGUUGAGGUUGGAUAGUUCAAUGCCUGGAAUUAAGUUUUCUUAUCUGGAAAGUCACAUGGCAUGGAGUCAUGUUCUUUAAUGCUUCUCUUAACACAUCUUGUUCCUUGUCUUGAUUAACUUUCCUUGCAAGUUUAGUUUUACGGUUUUAGUUUCUCUGUUAGCUAAAUAUUAACAAUGCCUCUGUUUAUUGCCUUGUUUAGAUUUUAGCAUGGAGUUCUUUGUUCAUUUGGUCUUAAGAUCUAUGAUAUGUGGUGUGGAUUAGCAUAAAGUUGAAUUAUGACAAUUAUGUGUUGCCCAUGGUUUAGGUUUCAUGGAACUCAGUUGGCA
rnacentral:misc_RNA from 1 species